ensembl:lncRNA
CUGGAAUUGUUUCCUUACCAUUAAGCAAGAAAAGACCCUCAAAAGGCCAUUCCGUGAUACACUCCCACCCCCAAACUCCUGUAUUUUACACAAUUUUGUUUCCUAUCACAGGAAGAAGGGAGUGCUCAACUUGGCGAGGGGAACUGAGGAGGGCUGCAGUAUCUUUAAAGAAGUGUUCCAUUAAAAGAGGACCCUACUGCCAUAGAAAACCCUGGAUCUAUGAAGACAUCAAAGACAGAGACCUAAUUUUUCCUCUCAAAAAAUGAACCUUGAUUUCCAUUCAAUAUUGAAUUUGAUGUUUAAAAAUUCUGAAGUAUGUCAGAGCUGAAGUUUAUCUAUGCUAUUUUGUACUGGAUACAUCUACUAGUGUGACAAAUUAGAUGUUUUCCCAGAGUAGCAGUUGUCUGAAUUCAUCUGCAGGAAGGAUACAUACAGGUACGUUUUCAGAAUAUUGUCAGAGUGGUCUUAGCUUCUCAAAGCAGCUUCUCCUAUACCAUUUUGUUAGGGGAAGCACAUUGACUGAAACUGCCCACCCUGGCCAGGCACCAUAGUAACUAUUUGCAUGAGUCAUUUUACAACAGGAGGUCCUGGUGAGGAACACAGAACUAAUAAGCUACCACCAACCAGAAGAGUUCGGGAAAGGUCAAAAGGAGACACCACAUGUCUGACCACCUCCCAGAAUCCUCCCUGGCAUCCAUCUUGGCUGAACAAGGUGUGCACCACCAGGAAGGACCCUGAGUGGGAAUGAUUGGCUAAAGACAACCCGGAAACUAAUCCCAUCACCAUAAAACCUACAAGCUGUGUGGCAGAGCUGUUCUCCUGGGUUCCCUUACCCUACUGCUCUCCACCCAGGUGCCCCUUCCCAAUAAAAUCUCUUGCUUUGUCA